rnacentral:rRNA from 1 species
UACGAAGGGGGCUAGCGUUGCUCGGAAUCACUGGGCGUAAAGCGCACGUAGGCGGAUUGCUAAGUCAGGGGUGAAAUCCUGGAGCUCAACUCCAGAACUGCCCUUGAUACUGGCGGUCUCGAGUCCGGGAGAGGUGAGUGGAACUGCGAGUGUAGAGGUGAAAUUCGUAGAUAUUAGGAAGAACACCAGUGGCGAAGGCGGCUCACUGGUCCGGUACUGACGCUGAGGUGCGAAAGCGUGGGGAGCAAACAGG